rnacentral:rRNA from 1 species
CCUACGGGAGGCAGCAGUGGGGAAUUUUGGACAAUGGACGCAAGUCUGAUCCAGCCAUGCCGCGUGCGGGAAGAAGGCCUUCGGGUUGUAAACCGCUUUUGUCAGGGAAGAAAAGGUUCUGGUUAAUACCUGGGACUCAUGACGGUACCUGAAGAAUAAGCACCGGCUAACUACGUGCCAGCAGCCGCGGUAAUACGUAGGGUGCAAGCGUUAAUCGGGAUUACUGGGCGUAAAGCGUGCGCAGGCGGUUAUGCAAGACAGAUGUGAAAUCCCCGGGCUCAACCUGGGAACUGCAUUUGUGACUGCAUAGCUAGAGUACGGUAGAGGGGGGUGGAAUUCCGCGUGUAGCAGUGAAAUGCGUAGAUAUGCGGAGGAACACCGAUGGCGAAGGCAAUCCCCUGGACCUGUACUGACGCUCAUGCACGAAAGCGUGGGGAGCAAACAGGAUUAGAUACCCUGGUAGUCCACGCCCUAAACGAUGUCAACUGGUUGUUGGGAGGUUUCUUCUCAGUAACGAAGCUAACGCGUGAAGUUGACCGCCGUGGGGAGGUACGGCCGCGAGGUUAGGAACGUACGAAGGAAAGUUAGUACGGCGUGAGACGUGCCGACGGACGACGACGAGGGAGGAGGG